GCCUAUGGCCAUACAACCCUGGAUGUGCCUGAUGUUCUCUGAUUUUGGAAGCUAAGCAGGGUCAGGCCUCUUUAGACAUAGAUGGGGAACCAGUCAGGAGGUUUCUGCAUCCU
rnacentral:rRNA from 1 species